GUCACCUUUAAAAGGGCUGGGCCCUAGGUAGUAAAGUUCUGAUUUAUCCUUGUUGAUACUAGAGAGAGAGAUGAUACAAGAGAGUAAAAGGGAACUGUAAGUGAUGGAGGUGGGGAGAGAGAAAAGAGUGUGUUAAUUUGGUUCGAAAUUUUAUGAUUAUCUCAAAUCAUUAAGAUAAAAAUAUGGGUAAACUUCAAAUACCAUUAUUGUGGUUUCGUACUUUUUUAUUUUAUUAGCAUGUGAUUUAAAGUGUAUUAAUUUAGUAUCCUAUGUUUUUUUUUUUUUUUUUCAUCAGCAUUUCCGUUAACUUUUCGUUAAAUCACAUACAAAAAAACUUCAAAUACCCUACCUAUAGUUUAUCGAAUAUUUACUUUAAUACCCUUUAGUUUUAACUUUGUCACUGAUUUAACGAAAAAAAUUAGUAGAGGGGAUAACAAAAAGAGAAAAAUAAAACUAUAGGAUAUGAAAAUGAUAUAUUUUAAAUCACAGAAUAAUAAAGUAAGAAUGUGCGAAACUAUAAGAGUGGUAUUUGAAGUUUUCUCUAAAAAAUAUCCAUACUCUCCCAAAAGAAUGAGAUAUAUAAUUAACCUUUGUGAUGAAUCUUAUUCUCAAAUAAAUUCAGCAUUACCAAUCAAAUUAUAUGGUGCAUUUAGCAAAACAUCGUCGUAUUCUUUUAUUUCUUUUGAAUU
rnacentral:lncRNA from 1 species